rnacentral:misc_RNA from 1 species
GGAAGGCUGAGUUUCACCAAUUUAGCUGCUCUUUUCUUUCUUGUUCUUGCUUUGUUCUUGUUCUAUAGAUACCCAUCUUUUUCUCUUAUGGCUGAAGGAUCACCAAAAUCUAUUUAUGAUUUCACUGUGAAGGAUAUACAGGGAAAUGAGGUACCUUUGAGCAAUUAUAGGGGAAAGGUUCUCCUUAUUGUCAAUGUUGCAUCAAAAUGUGGUUUAACAGAUUCAAACUACAAGGAGCUGAAUAUUUUGUAUGAGAAGUACAAAGAUCAAGGUUUUGAAAUUUUAGCAUUUCCUUGUAACCAGUUCCUGUGGCAAGAACCCGGAACAAAUGAGGAGAUUCAGCAAACUGUAUGCACCAGGUUCAAAGCUGAAUUCCCUGUAUUUGAAAAGAUUGAUGUGAACGGGGAUAAUGCUGCACCACUUUACAAGUUCUUGAAAUCAGAAAAAGGCGGUUUCCUUGGAAGUGCUGUCAAGUGGAACUUCACCAAAUUCCUUGUGGACAAAGAAGGAAAGGUUGUGGAACGAUAUGCACCCAAGACACCACCUCUUCAGUUUGAGAAAGACAUAAAAAAUCUGUUGGGUGUGGCUUGAGCACUACAGGUGUGAGAGUUCAGCAUAUGUAUUGACCUUUAGUUGGAAGUGCUUUCAUGGUUCUAUCUUUUUCCUUCUUCCCUGCCUACGAAACAAGCGAGCUUGUACCCCACCCCCUUAGUUUUUCCUUGUUGAUGUACUUUGGUUGUGUAAACUCGUUCAUUGCCAUGAAUUUGUAAUAAAAGUUGCAUAGUAGUUGUUUUAAUGAUUCGGGACUGUAGUUGCUCGAUAUACAAGUAUGUUAUCGCCUUA